CGGGAGGCAGCAGUAGGGAAUCUUCCACAAUGGGCGCAAGCCUGAUGGAGCAACACCGCGUGAGUGAAGAAGGGUUUCGGCUCGUAAAGCUCUGUUGUUAAAGAAGAACACGUAUGAGAGUAACUGUUCAUACGUUGACGGUAUUUAACCAGAAAGUCACGGCUAACUACGUGCCAGCAGCCGCGGUAAUACGUAGGUGGCAAGCGUUAUCCGGAUUUAUUGGGCGUAAAGAGAGUGCAGGCGGUUUUCUAAGUCUGAUGUGAAAGCCUUCGGCUUAACCGGAGAAGUGCAUCGGAAACUGGAUAACUUGAGUGCAGAAGAGGGUAGUGGAACUCCAUGUGUAGCGGUGGAAUGCGUAGAUAUAUGGAAGAACACCAGUGGCGAAGGCGGCUACCUGGUCUGCAACUGACGCUGAGACUCGAAAGCAUGGGUAGCGAACAGGAUUAGAUACCCUGGUAG
rnacentral:rRNA from 1 species